rnacentral:rRNA from 1 species
AUACGGAGGGUGCAAGCGUUACUCGGAAUCACUGGGCGUAAAGCGCGCGCAGGCGGCUAUUUAAGUUGGAUGUGAAAGCCUAUGGCUCAACCAUAGAACUGCAUCCAAAACUAUUUAGCUAGAGUGUGGGAGAGGAAGAUGGAAUUAGUUGUGUAGGGGUAAAAUCCGUAGAGAUAACUAGGAAUACUAAAAGCGAAGGCAAUCUUCUGGAACACUACUGACGCUGAGGCGCGAAAGCGAGGGGAGCAAACAGGAUUAGAAACCCUAGUAGUCC